GACGAACGCUGGCGGCGUGCUUAACACAUGCAAGUCGAACGGAAAGGCCCUGCUUUUGUGGGGUGCUCGAGUGGCGAACGGGCGAGUAACACGUGAGUAACCUGCCCUUGACUUUGGGAUAACUUCAGGAAACUGGGGCUAAUACCGGAUAGGAGCUCCUGCUGAAUGGUGGGGGUUGGAAAGUUUCGGCGGUUGGGGAUGGACUCGCGGCUUAUCAGCUUGUUGGUGGGGUAGUGGCUUACCAAGGCUUUGACGGGUAGCCGGCCUGAGAGGGUGACCGGCCACAUUGGGACUGAGAUAUGGCCCAGACUCCUACGGGAGGCAGCAGUGGGGAAUAUUGCACAAUGGGCGGAAGCCUGAUGCAGCAACGCCGCGUGCGGGAUGACGGCCUUCGGGUUGUAAACCGCUUUCGCCUGUGACGCAGCGUGAGUGACGGUAAUGGGUAAAGAAGCACCGGCUAACUACGUG
rnacentral:rRNA from 1 species